AUCUAGCUGAUGAGUCCCAAACAGGACGAAAUCCACGUCCUCGAU
rnacentral:hammerhead_ribozyme from 1 species